rnacentral:lncRNA from 1 species
CCCCCCCCCAGUUCCAGCUCCAUCAGCUCCAUCCCCGUGUCACCCCCUGGGAACCCCCCAGCUCCAUCAUAGAGCGACACCGGGACCAGAACCAGAACCAGAACCGGAACCAGAACCGGAACCGGAACCACAACAGCCCCCAUUGGUACCAUACAGACACCGGUACCAGCAAUACCAGAACCACCAACACUGGUACCACCAGAACCGGUACCAUCAGAACCGGUACCACCGGACCCAUCAUUGACGGCACCACCAGAACCGGUACCACCGGUACCACUGGACCCAUUGAGAGCACCACCAGAACCAGCCCUAUUGGUACCACCAGCCCUACCUGAACCAGCCCUACCGGAACCAGCCCUACUGGUACCACCAGCCCCAUUGCCAGCCCUACCGGAACCAGCCCCAUAGCCAGCCCUACCGGAACCAGCCCUACCGGAACCAGCCCCAUUGGUAUCACUGGACCCAUCAUAGCCAGCCCUACCAGAGCCAGCCCCAUAGCCAGCCCUACCGGAACCAGCCUCACUGGUACCGCCAGCCCCAUAGCCAGCCCUACAGGAACCAACCCCAUAGCCAUCCCUACCAGAACCAGCCCUACCAGAACCAGCCCCACUGGUACCACUGGACCCAUCACAGCCAGCCCUACCAGAACCAGCCCCAUAGCCAGCCCUACCAGCACCA